rnacentral:rRNA from 1 species
CUUGCUUCUUUCAAAUCUAGUGGCAAACGGGUGAGUAACACGUAAACAACCUGCCUUCAGGAUGGGGACAACAGACGGAAACGACUGCUAAUACCGAAUAUGUUCCUUAGGUCGCAUGAUCUUAGGAAGAAAGGGUGGCCUCUACUUGUAAGCUAUCGCCUGAAGAGGGGUUUGCGUCUGAUUAGGUAGUUGGUGAGGUAACGGCCCACCAUGGCGACGAUCAGUAGCCGGACUGAGAGGUUGACCGGCCACAUUGGGACUGAGAUACGGCCCAGACUCC